GAUGAACGCUGGCGGCGUGCCUAAUACAUGCAAGUCGAGCGAACAGACGAGGAGCUUGCUCCUCUGACGUUGGCGGCGGACGGGUUAGUAACACGUGGAUACACUACCUAUAAGACUGGGAUAACUUCGGAAAACCGGAGCGAAUACCGGAUAAUAUAUUUAACCGUAUUAUUCAAUAGUGAAAGACGGUUUUGCUUUCGCUUAUAUAUGUAUCCGCGCCGCAUUAGCCAGUUGGUAAGGUCACGGCAUACCGAGGCAACGAUGCGUAUCCGACCGGAGAGGGUGAUCGGCCACACUGGAACUGAGACACGGUCCAGACUCCUACGGGACGGAACAGUAGGGAAUCGUCCGCUAUGGGCGGAACGCUAGCGGGGCCACGCCGCGUGAGUGGUAGAGGUCUUCGGAUCGGGAAAGUCUGUUACUAGUGAAGAAGAAAUGUGUAAGGAACGAGGAACGUCUUGACGGUACCUAAUCAGAAAGCCACGGCUAACUACGUG
rnacentral:rRNA from 1 species